GUGCUCACUUCAGCAGCACAUAUAGUAAAAUUGGAACAAUACAGAGAAGAUAAGCAUGGACCUUGCACAAGAAUGACAUGUGAAUUUGUGAAGCAUUACACAUUUUU
ensembl:snRNA U6 U6 spliceosomal RNA